rnacentral:tRNA from 1 species
GGCUCGUUGGUCUAGGGGUAUGAUUCUCGCUUUGGGUGCGAAGCGUCCGGGUUCAAAUCCCAGACGAGCCC